rnacentral:rRNA from 1 species
UACGUUGGUGGCAAGCGUUAUCCGGAAUUAUUGGGCGUAAAGCGCGCGCAGGCGGUUUCUUAAGUCUGAUGUGAAAGCCCACGGCUCAACCGUGGAGGGUCAUUGGAAACUGGGGAACUUGAGUGCAGAAGAGAAAAGCGGAAUUCCACGUGUAGCGGUGAAAUGCGUAGAGAUGUGGAGGAACACCAGUGGCGAAGGCGGCUUUUUGGUCUGUAACUGACGCUGAGGCGCGAAAGCGUGGGGAGCAAACAGG